rnacentral:rRNA from 4 species
GUUGGGUAGGGGAGCGUUCUGUAAGCCUGUGAAGGUGUGUCGUGAGGCAUGCUGGAGGUAUCAGAAGUGCGAAUGCUGACAUAAGUAACGAUAAAGCGGGUGAAAAGCCCGCUCGCCGGAAGACCAAGGGUUCCUGUCCAACGUUAAUCGGGGCAGGGUGAGUCGACCCCUAAGGCGAGGCCGAAAGGCGUAGUCGAUGGGAAACGGGUUAAUAUUCCCGUACUUGGUGUUACUGCGAAGGGGGGACGGAGAAGGCUAUGUUGGCCGGGCGACGGUUGUCCCGGUUUAAGCGUGUAGGUGUGUGUUCCAGGUAAAUCCGGUUCACUUUAACACUGAGGCGUGACGACGAGGCACUACGGUGCUGAAGCAACAAAUGCCCUGCUUCCAGGAAAAGCCUCUAAGCAUCAGGUAACAUCAAAUCGUACCCCAAACCGACACAGGUGGUCAGGUAGAGAAUACCAAGGCGCUUGAGAGAACUCGGGUGAAGGAACUAGGCAAAAUGGUGCCGUAACUUCGGGAGAAGGCACGCUGACACGUAGGUGAAGUGAUUUACUCAUGGAGCUGAAGUCAGUCGAAGAUACCAGCUGGCUGCAACUGUUUAUUAAAAACACAGCACUGUGCAAACACGAAAGUGGACGUAUACGGUGUGACGCCUGCCCGGUGCCGGAAGGUUAAUUGAUGGGGUCAGCGCAAGCGAAGCUCCUGAUCGAAGCCCCGGUAAACGGCGGCCGUAACUAUAACGGUCCUAAGGUAGCGAAAUUCCUUGUCGGGUAAGUUCCGACCUGCACGAAUGGCGUAAUGAUGGCCAGGCUGUCUCCACCCGAGACUCAGUGAAAUUGAACUCGCUGUGAAGAUGCAGUGUACCCGCGGCAAGACGGAAAGACCCCGUGAACCUUUACUAUAGCUUGACACUGAACAUUGAGCCUUGAUGUGUAGGAUAGGUGGGAGGCUUUGAAGUGUGGACGCCAGUCUGCAUGGAGCCGACCUUGAAAUACCACCCUUUAAUGUUUGAUGUUCUAACGUGGACCCGUAAUCCGGGUUGCGGACAGUGUCUGGUGGGUAGUUUGACUGGGGCGGUCUCCUCCUAAAGAGUAACGGAGGAGCACGAAGGUUGGCUAAUCCUGGUCGGACAUCAGGAGGUUAGUGCAAUGGCAUAAGCCAGCUUGACUGCGAGCGUGACGGCGCGAGCAGGUGCGAAAGCAGGUCAUAGUGAUCCGGUGGUUCUGAAUGGAAGGGCCAUCGCUCAACGGAUAAAAGGUACUCCGGGGAUAACAGGCUGAUACCGCCCAAGAGUUCAUAUCGACGGCGGUGUUUGGCACCUCGAUGUCGGCUCAUCACAUCCUGGGGCUGAAGUAGGUCCCAAGGGUAUGGCUGUUCGCCAUUUAAAGUGGUACGCGAGCUGGGUUUAGAACGUCGUGAGACAGUUCGGUCCCUAUCUGCCGUGGGCGCUGGAGAACUGAGGGGGGCUGCUCCUAGUACGAGAGGACCGGAGUGGACGCAUCACUGGUGUUCGGGUUGUCAUGCCAAUGGCACUGCCCGGUAGCUAAAUGCGGAAGAGAUAAGUGCUGAAAGCAUCUAAGCACGAAACUUGCCCCGAGAUGAGUUCUCCCUGAGACUUAGAGUCUCCUGAAGGAACGUUGAAGACGACGACGUUGAUAGGCCGGGUGUGUAAGCGCAGCGAUGCGUUGAGCUAACCGGUACUAAUGAACCGUGAGGCUUAACCUUACAACGCCGAAG